GCAUAUCAAUAAGCGGAGGAAAGGAAACCAACUGGGAUUGCCUCAGUAACGGCGAGUGAAGCGGCAAAAGCUCAAAUUUGAAAUCUGGCCCCGUCAGGAGCCCGAGUUGUAAUUUGGAGAGGACACUUCGGGUGUGGCUGCGGUGUAAGUCCCUUGGAACAGGGCGUCAUAGAGGGUGAGAAUCCCGUCUUGCGCCGCCGGACCACGCCCAUGCGAAGUUCCUUCGACGAGUCGAGUUGUUUGGGAAUGCAGCUCUAAGUGGGUGGUAAAUUUCAUCUAAAGCUAAAUAUUGGCCAGAGACCGAUAGCGAACAAGUAGAGUGAUCGAAAGGUUAAAAGCACCUUGAAAAGGGAGUUAAAUAGCACGUGAAAUUGUUGAAAGGGAAGCGCUUGCAACCAGACUCGGUCGCGGGGGCUCAGCGGGCAUGCGUGCCCGUGUACUCCCCCGCGUUCGGGCCAGCAUCGGUUCCGGCGGUUGGUCAAAGGCCCCUGGAAUGUGUCGUCCUCCGGGACGUCUUAUAGCCAGKGGUGUCAAUGCUGCCAGCCGGGACCGAGGAACGCGCU
rnacentral:rRNA from 1 species